AUACCUUUCUCGGCCUUUUGGCUAAGAUCAAGUGUAGUAUCUGUUCUUAUCAGUUUAAUAUCUGAUAUGUGGACCAUGUGUUCACUUCGAUAUUAAAUUUAUUUUUGUGGGGAGGGUCCACUACAGUGGCUUGCCACUGGGGCCCCUCGAGCGUCGCUCGGCCGUUGCACUACUGGCUGAGCCUGGCGCACCCCAA
rnacentral:snRNA from 1 species